UUGUUUGGUUUCUAAACAUAUAAACAAAUAACAAUUUUUUUCUUUUACAAUUUAAAAACAAUGGACCAACCCAUCUUUUGCGAAAGGUUUGCGAUGGAUUGGGCAGUGCUAAUAUAGACGGACACAAGAUUUCAUAAUAAGAGUGUCAAGAGAAAUUUUAGUAGUAUUAUGAUUGUAGAAAAAAAAAUCGAAAAGUUUUGUACUAUGUCUCGGGAAAAAUCAAAUGGAGAAAGAAAUGUGAAAAUAGAAUUAGGGUUUUACUAUCUCACUUUCACUCUCACUCACCCUUGCCCGAUCUAGGUUUUUGUUUUGGUCAACGAUCAAGGCUGCUAAGGUUAUUAAGACAAUUGCAAAUAGUAUCUCUGAGUUGCAAAACGAGCUUCAAGUCUCAGAAUUCUAAAAAGAGGAUCAAGAUCAUCAAGAAGUAUUUGAUAAAGAUCAAGAAAGUGAAGAUGAUAAGAAGCGCAAGGCUGCUCUUGAAAGGCUUGUGGAAGCCACUGAAAACAAAAUCCUUGGCCAGGCAACUUUUAAAUGAUAGUUUAAUAACUUGUAUUAUCAAUGGAGCUUGGCAAGCACUUGGUAAUACAUGGAAAAGGAGUUCCACUUUUGUUCAGAAUAGAGAAAUGCAUCUCAAUUCUCAAAUGCCGCAAUCACACAAGAAAGGCGUCACCUGCAUUAUUGCAAAUUUGACAUCUCAAAGUGAAGGACUUCCUGUUAAAAGGAAGUGACCGCUGUUUUGGGUGGAUGAUUAUGUUUCACGGGUAUGCGAUCAAGAUCCAUAUGCAUGCAUGCAGGGGUCAAAAAUGUUUGACGAAGUCAAUAAUUUAAUGUAUGAGGUUAGCUUCCACAAGGAUUGGUAAAUGAAUACAAAACAGAUUUUGUCUUUUCCUUCAAAUUCAAUCAUCAAUUGAUUAAAUAUAUGUAUAAAUUAUUCUGCCCCUAUCUCAUUUUUGGAUAAAUAUUGGUUAAAUGAUAUGAUAUAUUAAUUAUUAUUUAUUUUA